AUUGGGCGCAAGUGGUUGAGCAGACCAGGUUCUGCCGGUAGGAGUCUGGAAGCUCGGCCCCAUGGCCCGACGGCUUACUCCCGCUCCCGACGGACGCUGACUUCUUCGGCGCUCGCUUGCGUCCGAACUCCACCACGCCGUUCUAGGGUCUCUCCCACAUCUCUUCUUCGUCCUUCCUUUUCUCCU
rnacentral:lncRNA from 1 species